CGGGUGUAGCUCAAUUGGUAGAGCGUCAGCCUUCCAAGCUGAAUGUUGCCGGUUCGACCCCGGUCACC
rnacentral:tRNA from 1 species